UACGUAGGGUGCGAGCGUUAAUCGGAAUUACUGGGCGUAAAGCGUGCGCAGGCGGUCUUGCAAGACAGGUGUGAAGUCCCCGGGCUUAACCUGGGAACUGCACUUGUGACUGCAAGGCUGGAGUACGGCAGAGGGGGAUGGAAUUCCGCGUGUAGCAGUGAAAUGCGUAGAUAUGCGGAGGAACACCGAUGGCGAAGGCAAUCCCCUGGACCUGUACUGACGCUCAUGCACGAAAGCGUGGGGAGCAAACAGG
rnacentral:rRNA from 1 species